AAAUAUUACGACACCUGCUUUAAAUUCGAUGGGGUGACGGGGUAGUGAAAGGUCCGCGUUCUUACGGAAUAGAACGUUAAAGGGUGUAGAUAUAGGUUGAGUAGGCAAAUCCGCUCGACUUGUCGAACCUGAUAGUACAGCAAAGCUUCGGCAGCGCUGAUAGUGACCCUAAUCAAACCUCCGAGAAAAACCUCUAAGUUAUGUUUAAAGCAGCCCGUACCGCAAACCGACACAGGUGGGUGAGAUGAGUAUUCUAAGGCGCUCGGGUGAGCCUUGGAGAAGGAACUAGGCAAAUUAACGCUGUAACUUCGGGAUAAAGCGUACCGACUUCGGUCGGUCUCAGUAAAAUGGUACAACCAACUGUUUAGCAAAAACACAGGGCCCUGCAAAAUCGAAAGAUGACGUAUAGAGCCUGAUACCUGCCCGGUGCUGGAAGGUUAAGGAAGGAUGUUCGGCGCAAGCCAAAGCUUCUGACUGAAGCCCCAGUAAACGGCGGCCGUAACGAUAACGGUCCUAAGGUAGCGAAAUUCCUUGUCGGGUAAGUUCCGACCUGCACGAAUGGUCUAAUGAGUUGUACACUGUCUCCUCCAAGAGCCCGGUGAAAUUGUAGUAUCGGUGAAGAUGCCGGUUACCCGUCACGGGACGGAAAGACCCCAUGAACCUUCACUACAACUUUGCAUUGAUUUUGAAUUUUUGAUGUGUAGGAUAGUUGGGAGACUUUGAAGUGGUGUCGCUAGGCAUCAUGGAGUCGUCGUUGAAAUACCAACCUUUAAACAUUUAGAAUCUAAUCCCUAACGGGAAACAGUGCAUGGUGGGUAGUUUGACUGGGGUGGUCGCCUCCUAAAGUGUAACGGAGGCUUGCAAAGGUUCCUUCAGUACGGUUGGUAAUCGUACUCAGAGCGUAUUAGUAUAAGGGAGCUUGACUGUGAGACUUACAAGUCGAGCAGGGACGAAAGUCGGCUAAAGUGAUCCGGCGGUUCUGUAUGGAAGGGCCGUCGCUCAAAGGAUAAAAGGUACUCUGGGAUAACAGGCUGAUCUCCCCCAAGAGCUCAUAUCGACGGGGAGGUUUGGCACCUCGAUGUCGGUUCGUCACAUCCUGGGGCUGGAGAAGGUCCCAAGGGUUCGGCUGUUCGCCGAUUAAAGUGGCACGUGAACUGGGUUCAGAACGUCGCAAGACAGUUCGGUCCCUAUCUGUGAUGGGCGCUAGUAAAUUGAGAGGAUAUGACUUUAGUACGAGAGGACCGAGUCGUACGUACCGCUGGUGUAUCUGUUGUGCCGCCAGGUGCAAUGCAGAGUAGUU
rnacentral:rRNA from 1 species